rnacentral:Y_RNA from 1 species
GGCUGGUCCCAGUGCAGUAGUGUUUAUAACUAAUUGAUCACAACCAGUUACAGAUUCCUUUGUUCCUUCUCCACUCCCACUGCUUCACUUAACUAGGAGAA